rnacentral:rRNA from 1 species
CCUACGGGAUGCUGCAGUGAGGAAUAUUGGUCAAUGGGCGAGAGCCUGAACCAGCCAAGUCGCGUGAGGGAAGACGGUCCUAUGGAUUGUAAACCUCUUUUGCCGGGGAGCAAAAAGCGGUACGUGUACCGCAUCGAGAGUACCCGGAGAAAAAGCAUCGGCUAACUCCGUGCCAGCAGCCGCGGUAAUACGGAGGAUGCGAGCGUUAUCCGGAUUUAUUGGGUUAAAGGGGUGCGCAGGCGGCGAGUUAAGUCAGCGGUAAAAUUUCGGGGCUCAACCCCGACGAGCCGUUGAAACUGGCUUGCUAGAGUUGGAGAGAAGUAUGCGGAAUGCGCGGUGUAGCGGUGAAAUGCAUAGAUAUCGCGCAGAACUCCGAUUGCGAAGGCAGCAUGCCGGCUCCACACUGACGCUGAGGCACGAAAGCGUGGGUAUCGAACAGGAUUAGAUACCCCAGUAGUC